GACGAACGCUGGCGGCGUGCUUAACACAUGCAAGUCGAACGGAAAGGCCCCUUUGGGGGUACUCGAGUGGCGAACGGGUGAGUAACACGUGAGUAACCUGCCCUUGACUUCGGGAUAACUUCAGGAAACUGGGGCUAAUACCGGAUAGGAAUCCUUGCUGCAUGGUGGGGGUUGGAAAGCUUCGGCGGUUUUGGAUGGACUCGCGGCUUAUCAGCUUGUUGGUGGGGUAGUGGCUUACCAAGGCGUUGACGGGUAGCCGGCCUGAGAGGGCGACCGGCCACAUUGGGACUGAGAUACGGCCCAGACUCCUACGGGAGGCAGCAGUGGGGAAUAUUGCACAAUGGGCGGAAGCCUGAUGCAGCAACGCCGCGUGCGGGAGGACGGCCUUCGGGUUGUAAACCGCUUUCAGCAGGGGCGAAGCUUGUGGUGACGGUACCUGCAGAAGAAGCACCGGCUAACUACGUG
rnacentral:rRNA from 1 species